rnacentral:misc_RNA from 1 species
AUUUUUUCUUUGCUCCUUUUCGAGAUCAACAGUAAAAGGAAAGGGGAGUCAUUCCCUUAUCUGAAAACUUCGCAAAAGGGGGAGAAAAGGGGACGGGACGCGGUUAUUGCAGGCGUACUGUUGGCGCCGUUUGGAGCUGGAGCCGGCCGAAUUUGAGAAAAAUGAAAGAGAGGGCGUACUGUUGGACGCGACUUUUGCUGGAUUUCAGUUUUCUCUUAGGACAGCUGGUUCACCGAGAUUUCUGGGUUAGCUGGUGUGA